rnacentral:rRNA from 1 species
CUCGUAGGCGGUUUGUCGCGUCUGCCGUGAAAUUCUGGGGCUUAACCCUGGGCGUGCGGUGGGUACGGGCAGACUAGAGUGCGGUAGGGGAGACUGGAAUUCCUGGUGUAGCGGUGGAAUGCGCAGAUAUCAGGAGGAACACCGGUGGCGAAGGCGGGUCUCUGGGCCGUUACUGACGCUGAGGAGCGAAAGCAUGGGGAGCGAACA